UACGGAGGGUGCAAGCGUUAAUCGGAAUUACUGGGCGUAAAGGGUGCGUAGGUUGUUAGAUAAGUUAGCUGUGAAAUUCCUGGGCUUAACCUGGGCACUGCAGCUAAUACUGUUUAACUAGAGUAUGGGAGAGGGUAGUGGAAUUUCCGGUGUAGCGGUGAAAUGCGUAGAGAUCGGAAGGAACACCAGUGGCGAAGGCGGCUACCUGGCCUAAUACUGACACUGAGGCACGAAAGCGUGGGGAGCAAACAGG
rnacentral:rRNA from 1 species